AACGCAAAUUGCGCCUUCUUUCGGAAGGCAUGUCUGUUUGAGGGCACCAUUUAACAAAUAAUGUGCGCGUCGUUUACGGACGACGUGCGCACGUUGAUGAGCUUUUCCGAAAAAACCAGGUUUUUUUGGUGGCGCAUAAUGAACAGCGUGGGCUUUUUCUUCGAUUCUCGUGUAGUAAAUCUUCAACGCUUGGGUUGAGAAAAAGUGCGUGCCGCGCAAUGGGUGUGGCGAAUUUUACCCCUGCCCCAAUGCCACUCUUUCCCUGCGAAAGAACAAUCUUUUAUUCAGGGCCUCAAAUCAGACAAGAGUACCCGCUGAACUUAA
rnacentral:misc_RNA from 1 species